AGAGUUUGAUCAUGGCUCAGAUUGAACGCUGGCGGCAGGCCUAACACAUGCAAGUCGAACGGUAACAGGAAGCAGCUUGCUGCUUCGCUGACGAGUGGCGGACGGGUGAGUAAUGUCUGGGAAGCUGCCUGAUGGAGGGGGAUAACUACUGGAAACGGUAGCUAAUACCGCAUAAUGUCGCAAGACCAAAGAGGGGGACCUUCGGGCCUCUUGCCAUCGGAUGUGCCCAGAUGGGAUUAGCUUGUUGGUGGGGUAACGGCUCACCAAGGCGACGAUCCCUAGCUGGUCUGAGAGGAUGACCAGCCACACUGGAACUGAGACACGGUCCAGACUCCUACGGGAGGCAGCAGUGGGGAAUAUUGCACAAUGGGCGCAAGCCUGAUGCAGCCAUGCCGCGUGUAUGAAGAAGGCCUUCGGGUUGUAAAGUACUUUCAGCGGGGAGGAAGGGAGUAAAGUUAAUACCUUUGCUCAUUGACGUUACCCGCAGAAGAAGCACCGGCUAACUCCGUGCCAGCAGCCGCGGUAAUACGGAGGGUGCAAGCGUUAAUCGGAAUUACUGGGCGUAAAGCGCACGCAGGCGGUUUGUUAAGUCAGAUGUGAAAUCCCCGGGCUCAACCUGGGAACUGCAUCUGAUACUGGCAAGCUUGAGUCUCGUAGAGGGGGGUAGAAUUCCAGGUGUAGCGGUGAAAUGCGUAGAGAUCUGGAGGAAUACCGGUGGCGAAGGCGGCCCCCUGGACGAAGACUGACGCUCAGGUGCGAAAGCGUGGGGAGCAAACAGGAUUAGAUACCCUGGUAGUCCACGCCGUAAACGAUGUCGACUUGGAGAUUGUGCCCUUGAGGCGUGGCUUCCGGAGCUAACGCGUUAAGUCGACCGCCUGGGGAGUACGGCCGCAAGGUUAAAACUCAAAUGAAUUGACGGGGGCCCGCACAAGCGGUGGAGCAUGUGGUUUAAUUCGAUGCAACGCGAAGAACCUUACCUGGUCUUGACAUCCACGGAAGUUUUCAGAGAUGAGAAUGUGCCUUCGGGAACCGUGAGACAGGUGCUGCAUGGCUGUCGUCAGCUCGUGUUGUGAAAUGUUGGGUUAAGUCCCGCAACGAGCGCAACCCUUAUCCUUUGUUGCCAGCGGUCCGGCCGGGAACUCAAAGGAGACUGCCAGUGAUAAACUGGAGGAAGGUGGGGAUGACGUCAAGUCAUCAUGGCCCUUACGACCAGGGCUACACACGUGCUACAAUGGCGCAUACAAAGAGAAGCGACCUCGCGAGAGCAAGCGGACCUCAUAAAGUGCGUCGUAGUCCGGAUUGGAGUCUGCAACUCGACUCCAUGAAGUCGGAAUCGCUAGUAAUCGUGGAUCAGAAUGCCACGGUGAAUACGUUCCCGGGCCUUGUACACACCGCCCGUCACACCAUGGGAGUGGGUUGCAAAAGAAGUAGGUAGCUUAACCUUCGGGAGGGCGCUUACCACUUUGUGAUUCAUGACUGGGGUGAAGUCGGAACAAGGUAACCGUAGGGGAACCUGCGGUUG
rnacentral:rRNA from 1 species